UGUCACUGCCUAAAGUAUCAAAAUUCUCUUUCAUAUUUUUUUAUUCUCUUUCAUUCUGUUUAAUAUUUAUGUCAAUCAAAAUCAACCAAAACCAAUAAUGAAAAGUUUGCAAAAACAUUAAUUUAAUAAUAUGAUUAAAUAUGGCCAAUAAGUUUAAAGCAGUUUUGAAUAAUGCCUGUGGGAACAGACAAUAAUAUCGGUUACAUUCAAGAAGCAUCCAGAAUGCUUCAAUCAAUCAGGUUGUAAGGAUGUAGAGAACAACAAGUAUGAACCUAUGCAACCCAGACGACUAAAUGCUCAAACUAAGGCUGAGAAGACCGAAGUUGUACCGUUUGAAAAGAGCCAUAUACCAGAAGACUGGAGGGCGGCGUUCUAUCUACUUGUGCGAUCUGUACGAUUUGCAGCUGAAACACUUGGUGGUCUGUACCGGGCUGCUGUUCAUCCUAAUGCUGUGUUUGAGGAGUUUGUACAACAAAAUUAACUCGCACAACAGCUGCUCGUCUAUGCAAAUGUAUUGAGGAAAUAAAUCUUGGCUGAAUGA